rnacentral:rRNA from 1 species
GACGAACGCUGGCGGCGUGCUUAACACAUGCAAGUCGAGCGGAAAGGCCCUUCGGGGUACUCGAGCGGCGAACGGGUGAGUAACACGUGAGUAACCUGCCCUAGGCUUUGGGAUAACCCCGGGAAACCGGGGCUAAUACCGGAUAUGACCUGGUGCCGCAUGGUGUUGGGUGGAAAGUUUUUUCGGCCUGGGAUGGGCUCGCGGCCUAUCAGCUUGUUGGUGGGGUGAUGGCCUACCAAGGCGAUGACGGGUAGCCGGCCUGAGAGGGUGACCGGCCACACUGGGACUGAGACACGGCCCAGACUCCUACGGGAGGCAGCAGUGGGGAAUAUUGCACAAUGGGCGGAAGCCUGAUGCAGCGACGCCGUGUGAGGGAUGAAGGCCUUCGGGUUGUAAACCUCUUUCAGCAGGGACGAAGCGUGAGUGACGGUACCUGCAGAAGAAGCGCCGGCCAACUACGUG